rnacentral:miRNA from 1 species
UAUAUGUGUGUGUGUGUGUGUGUGUGUGUGUAUACAUACACACACACACACACGCAUACAUACU